UUUACACAUCGCAACUGGCGCUAAAGAUGGGUUUCCAUCGUGGAGCGAAGACAUUUUGGUCGUGCGCCUGGGCCAAGACU
rnacentral:ncRNA from 2 species